rnacentral:rRNA from 1 species
GAUGAACGCUAGCUACAGGCUUAACACAUGCAAGUCGAGGGGCAGCAUUUUAGUUUGCUUGCAAACUAAAGAUGGCGACCGGCGCACGGGUGAGUAACACGUAUCCAACCUGCCGAUAACUCGGGGAUAGCCUUUCGAAAGAAAGAUUAAUAUCCGAUAGUAUAUUAAAACCGCAUGGUUUUACUAUUAAAGAAUUUCGGUUAUCGAUGGGGAUGCGUUCCAUUAGUUUGUUGGCGGGGUAACGGCCCACCAAGACUACGAUGGAUAGGGGUUCUGAGAGGAAGGUCCCCCACAUUGGAACUGAGACACGGUCCAAACUCCUACGGGAGGCAGCAGUGAGGAAUAUUGGUCAAUGGACGAGAGUCUGAACCAGCCAAGUAGCGUGAAGGAUGACUGCCCUAUGGGUUGUAAACUUCUUUUAUAUGGGAAUAAAGUAUUCCACGUGUGGAAUUUUGUAUGUACCAUAUGAAUAAGGAUCGGCUAACUCCGUGCCAGCAGCCGCGGUAAUACGGAGGAUCCGAGCGUUAUCCGGAUUUAUUGGGUUAAAGGGGAGCGUAGGUGGAUUGUUAAGUCAGUUGUGAAAGUUUGCGGCUCAACCGUAAAAUUGCAGUUGAAACUGGCAGUCUUGAGUACAGUAGAGGUGGGCGGAAUUCGUGGUGUAGCGGUGAAAUGCUUAGAUAUCACGAAGAACUCCGAUUGCGAAGGCAGCUCACUAGACUGCAACUGACACUGAUGCUCGAAAGUGUGGGUAUCAAACAGGAUUAGAUACCCUGGUAGUCCACACAGUAAACGAUGAAUACUCGCUGUUUGCGAUAUACAGUAAGCGGCCAAGCGAAAGCAUUAAGUAUUCCACCUGGGGAGUACGCCGGCAACGGUGAAACUCAAAGGAAUUGACGGGGGCCCGCACAAGCGGAGGAACAUGUGGUUUAAUUCGAUGAUACGCGAGGAACCUUACCCGGGCUUAAAUUGCAUUUGAAUAAUCUGGAAACAGGUUAGCCGCAAGGCAAAUGUGAAGGUGCUGCAUGGUUGUCGUCAGCUCGUGCCGUGAGGUGUCGGCUUAAGUGCCAUAACGAGCGCAACCCUUAUCUUUAGUUACUAACAGGUCAUGCUGAGGACUCUAGAGAGACUGCCGUCGUAAGAUGUGAGGAAGGUGGGGAUGACGUCAAAUCAGCACGGCCCUUACGUCCGGGGCUACACACGUGUUACAAUGGGGGGUACAGAAGGCAGCUACCUGGCGACAGGAUGCUAAUCCCAAAAACCUCUCUCAGUUCGGAUCGAAGUCUGCAACCCGACUUCGUGAAGCUGGAUUCGCUAGUAAUCGCGCAUCAGCCAUGGCGCGGUGAAUACGUUCCCGGGCCU